rnacentral:rRNA from 1 species
GAUGAACGCUGGCGGCGUGCUUAACACAUGCAAGUCGAACGGAAAGGCCCAAGCUUGCUUGGGUACUCGAGUGGCGAACGGGUGAGUAACACGUGGGUGAUCUGCCCUGCACUUCGGGAUAAGCCUGGGAAACUGGGUCUAAUACCGGAUAGGACGAUGGUUUGGAUGCCAUUGUGGAAAGUUUUUUCGGUGUGGGAUGAGCUCGCGGCCUAUCAGCUUGUUGGGGGGGUAAUGGCCUACCAAGGCGUCGACGGGUAGCCGGCCUGAGAGGGUGUACGGCCACAUUGUGACUGAGAUACGGCCCAGACUCCUACGGGAGGCAGAAGUGGGGAAUAUUGCACAAUGGGCGCGAGCCUGAUGCGGCGACGCCGCGUGGGGGAUGACGGCCUUCGGGUUGUAAACUCCUUUCGCUAGGGACGAGGCGUUUUUGUGACGGUACCUGGAGAAGAAGCACCGGCUAACUACGUG